AUUGAACGCUGGCGGCAUGCCUUACACAUGCAAGUCGAACGGCAGCACGGGAGCAAUCCUGGUGGCGAGUGGCGAACGGGUGAGUAAUAUAUCGGAACGUGCCCAGUCGUGGGGAUAACGUAGCGAAAGCUACGCUAAUACCGCAUACGAUCUAUGGAUGAAAGCGGGGGAUCGCAAGACCUCGCGCGAUUGGAGCGGCCGAUAUCAGAUUAGGUAGUUGGUGAGGUAAAGGCUCACCAAGCCGACGAUCUGUAGCUGGUCUGAGAGGACGACCAGCCACACUGGGACUGAGACACGGCCCAGACUCCUACGGGAGGCAGCAGUGGGGAAUUUUGGACGAAUGGGCGCAAGCCUCGAUCCAGCAAUGCCGCGUGCAGGAUGAAGGCCUUCGGUUGGUAAGUACGACUUACGUUAGGUAGGAGGGUAGGUAACGU
rnacentral:rRNA from 1 species